GGACCCGUGGUCUAGUGGUUAUGACGUAACCUUCACAAGGUUAAGGUCCCCAGUUCGAAUCUGGGCGGGUCCA
rnacentral:tRNA from 1 species